rnacentral:lncRNA from 1 species
AAAAAUCCUCCAUAAUUUAGUGAAUUGGUCAUUCAUUUAAUUAGUUUUCUACAAAAGGGACUGCUUUCUGUAUGUUCACAAGGAGAUCAUGGGCAGUGGCUUACAAGAAGAGAAAGGAUGUAUAUCACCCCUGCCCUCCCUUCUUUUCCUUUUUUUUUUUUUUUUUUAAGGCAGGAAUCGGAGUGCCGUAGUACAAUCACAGCUCACUGCAGCCUCAAACUCCUGGGUUCCAGUGAUCCUCCCACCUCAGCCUCCCCAGUAGCUGGGGCUACGGCCCAGUAAAGGCACCAUUCCCCAUUUUACAGCUUGGGAAUCUGAGUUACAGAGCUUGUCUGCACUGAGUCAACAGGAGCAAAUGCUAGAUCAGGUCUAGCUGCAGUACAGUGAUGCAGUCAUAGCCCACUGCAGCCUCAAAUUCCUGGGCUCAAGCAAUCCACCCACAUCAGCUUCCCAAGUAGUUGGGACUACAGGCCCACACUACUAUGCCCAGGGGAGUCCUUGAGCAGAAGGAAGCAAGUUGCCUGAGAUUCUUCAAAGCCCGCAGCCCUUUUGGAUGUAGAAGUUGCUGGUCCCAUCUUGCUCACAAUCCUCCAAAGUUUGAAAGUUAUUUUCCAGGAGACUUGGCUUGCACUGAGAGCUGCCCUCCCACCCUCUCUCCAAAUUUCCUCUUGGGGGUAGCCUAACAAGGUGCUGUCACAGACCCUUGUCAGCCACUAUGACCCCACCCAGACCAUCCCUCUGCUGUUUCACUCUUUG